rnacentral:rRNA from 1 species
UACGUAGGGGGCAAGCGUUGUCCGGAUUUAUUGGGCGUAAAGAGCGUGUAGGCGGCCGCACAGGUCCGUUGUGAAAACUGGAGGCUCAACCUUCAGACGUCGAUGGAAACCGUGCGGCUAGAGUCCGGAAGAGGAGAGUGGAAUUCCUGGUGUAGCGGUGAAAUGCGCAGAUAUCAGGAAGAACACCCGUGGCGAAGGCGGUUCUCUGGGCAUGUCCUGACGCUGAGGAGCGAAAGUGUGGGGAGCGAACAGG